GUAACGAACUCCGAUAAGUGUUAAUUCUCACACGUUGUAGCCGAUUCGGUGACUUUCAGUUUUUAUUCAGUUACAUUUCUAUCUUCUUCGAGCUAUCACCUAAAAUUAAGAUGUGUAAGAUUGGUAUUUUGUUCUUGGCGAUUCUUAUCGCUACUCAAGUCACCGGAUUCCCCACAACCGAUGUUCCAAAUGAAUCAAGUGAAUCAGAUACCAAAUCACCCCUUCCAAGCACAACUGACAAAAGUGAGAGUGGUGUGCAACUGGCGAAAGUCUCGACGGUGGAAGCAAUCGUUAUCAAUUCACAAUCGCUUGAUUUAGCUGUGUUCCAUGCUCUGACAAACAGGACCAGGCGUGCCACGGGUACGGAGGCAUCAACAACGACAACUACUACUCCAAAGCCGGGUUUUUUCCCUUAUGGGUUUCACUGGAAUAGAUUUUAGGUCGUAAUAAAAUGCACGUGAUUUUGUUUUAUAAUAAUGAGACGUAAUUA